UCAGCAGCCGCGGUAAUACGUAGGGGGCAAGCGUUGUCCGGAAUUACUGGGCGUAAAGAGCGUGUAGGCGGAUUGUUAAGUCAGAUGUGAAAACUGCGGGCUCAACCCGGAGCAUGCAUCUGAUACUGAUAGUCUUGAGGGUAUGAGAGGGAAACGGUAUUCCUAGUGUAGCGGUGAAAUGCGUAGAUAUUAGGAGGAACACCAGUGGCGAAGGCGGUUUCCUGGCAUACAACUGACGCUGAGACGCGAAAGCGUGGGGAGCAAACAGGAUUAGAUACCCUGGUAGUCCACGCCGUAAACGAUGGGUACUAGGUGUAGGAGGUAUCGACCCCUUCUGUGCCGGAGUUAACACAAUAAGUACCCCGCCUGGGGAGUACGGCCGCAAGGUUGAAACUUAAAGGAAUUGGCGGGGGAU
rnacentral:rRNA from 1 species